rnacentral:rRNA from 1 species
CAGCAGCCGCGGUAAUACGUAGGUGGCAAGCGUUGUCCGGAAUUAUUGGGCGUAAAGCGCGCGCAGGUGGUUUAAUAAGUCUGAUGUGAAAGCCCACGGCUCAACCGUGGAGGGUCAUUGGAAACUGUUAAACUUGAGUGCAGGAGAGAAAAGUGGAAUUCCUAGUGUAGCGGUGAAAUGCGUAGAGAUUAGGAGGAACACCAGUGGCGAAGGCGGCUUUUUGGCCUGUAACUGACACUGAGGCGCGAAAGCGUGGGGAGCAAACAGGAUUAGAUACCCCAGUAGUCCCUGUCUCUUAUAC